rnacentral:rRNA from 1 species
AGUCACUGCUAUUGGGGUCCGGCUAAGCCAUGCGAGCGGAGGGCGCGGUCGAAAGAUCGUGGCCCCGCACACGGCUCAGUAACACGUAGUCAACCUACCCUUGGGACGGGAACAACCUCGGGAAACUGAGGCUAAUUCCCGAUAGGCGAGGGACGCUGGGAUGCUUCCUCGCCCAAAGCUCCGGCGCCCAGGGAUGGGACUGCGGUCUAUCAGGCUGUUGGUGGUGUAACGGACCACCAAACCUACGACGGGUACAGGCGAUGGGAGUCGGAGCCUGGAGAUGGGGACUGAGACAAGGCCCCAGGCCCUACGGGGCGCAGCAGGCGCGAAAACUCCGCAAUGCGCGUAAGCGUGACGGGGGGACCCCAAGUGCCGUUGGUCUUUUGAUCGACGGCUUUUAGGAAGUCUAUGAAGCUUCCAGAAUAAGGGCUGGGUAAGACUGGUGCCAGCCGCCGCGGUAACACCAGCAGCCCAAGUGGUGGCCACGAUUAUUGGGCCUAAAGCGCUCGUAGCCGGGUCAGCAAGUCCCUUGUGAAAUCGGGCCGCCUAACGGUUCGGCGUGCAAGGGAUACUGUUGGUCUUGAGGCCGGGGGGGGUCGGAGGUACUCCUGGGGUAGCGGUGAAAUGCUCUAAUCCUGGGGGGACCACCAGUGGCGAAGGCGUCCGACCAGAACGGACCUGACGGUGAGGGGCGAAGGCUAGGGGAGCGAACGGGAUUAGAUACCCCGGUAGUCCUAGCUGUAAAGCAUGCGGGCCAGGUGUCUAGCGCUCCUCGAGGGCGCUAGGUGCCGGAGGGAAGCCGUUAAGCCCGCCGCCUGGGAAGUACGGCCGCAAGGUUGAAACUUAAAGAAAUUGGCGGGGGAGCACCACAAGAGGUGGGACCUGCGGUUC